UGGGAGAUCGAUACCCAAACAGUGUUAAAACUUGCCCUGUUUGCCACAAAAUCUCCCUAAAGUGAAAUUGCCUUUUGAUGACCGGGACGAAAUGAGAGAAAUCGUAACGGACAGAUACGGGGCAGACAAAU